rnacentral:lncRNA from 1 species
ACAAUUUUUUAUUCUUUUUAAAUACAUCUGAGGUUAAGCAAAAUAUAUACAUGAAUGUCUUCAAGUAGAAAAGAGUGAAAUAUACAUUUAUGGGUUUGUGGUUAGGCAAAUCAUAAUUGCUCUCUUUAGCACAUCCAAACCAAAUUACGACAUGGUUGUUGACAUUCAACCUAGCGUUGUCCUCAAACAUUUGCUUAUAAAUGUUUUGAUGCCAUAAUCUUCAAUAAAGGAAUCAAACCCAAAUUCAAACUUGGCCAUGUUUCAAAACCUUUAAAGACAGGGAGGUAUAGUAUCGUAGGGGUGUCUAGAAUAUUCUAAGAAGGGAUUUGGCAAUUUUUCAUUCACAGUAUUUCUGAUAUGAAAGACCCCAUUCUGUUUACUGAUCACUUUCACAAAAGUUGGGGCAAAAUAUCACUUUGGCAGAAAUAUCACUGAACUUGCUGCUAUUAGCGGAAAGCAUCGAGAUUGCUUGGCAAACUCUUGAAAGGACAGGUGUAGCUCAAAACAGAAGCUUCACUGAGUCUAAUUAAUGCAUGAUAUGUGAUACAUAAAAUUCAAAUACUAAAAUUCGAAAAAGCUUUUUUUUCUUCACUAGUAAAAAUGGGAAGUUUUACAUUGGUAGCAGCAAUGAAAAAGAGAUAGAAAAUAAGUAAAGAAAUAUAGAAAAGCUUUACCAAAAUUUAAUAUUUAGAGAGGCGGAAGAUAAAAGCUAUCCUAGGAAUAUUUAAAUCACUUAAUUAAUACAUGUAGUGUUGUUUUUAUAGAAGCACCUUCAAAAUACACCUUUGAAAGUUUUGGAUAAAAAUACAUCUAGGAUAAAUGCAAAAGAAAGCAUGUCACACACAAGUCCUUAAAGUAAUAGGAAUACGGCAAUUUUCCAUAGAACAUAGUUUUUCAUUUGGCGAUACAAAAAUAUAAAAAUCCAAGUGACCCAGGUCUCACAGUCCCAGAUCUACGAAAUUCUUGUCCAACAGCAUGCAAAAUGGAAAACAUGUCUACACUCCCACUAUUCCUGUAUUAAAAUAAAGGAGAAACUUAUAGGGCUACUUUAAGGGAAAAAAAAGGCCAAAGUGAACAUAAAGUCACUUAUUUGUGCAAAAAAAGGCAAAGAAGAGCUGAGAUAAACAAUAAAUUAUAGGGUUUACCUAUCCCAAGCUUCUGCUGGUAUAUCCACUGCUGUCUACAAUACUGACCCACUGGUUAACCCUUUACUGAGCAUGUAGGUGUCCAUUCAUGCUAACUUUAGUCAAGAGGAUAUAUGAGACAAGACAUUCUUUUUUUUACAGAUUUUCCACCAUGAUCAAAAUGAUGAAUAAUAAAUUUUCAAAGCCAUGGAAAGAGUUCAAACUUAAGUAUUAUUAAGUUUAAGCACAGAGUACUAAGUAUGAAAUAUAUUUUUUCCUUUGAAAAAGUAUCUAUAAAAUGUAGUGUUGUAAAUCAAAUCCUAUGUAUCCUUCUCAGGCAGCACAAAAUUAUGUAUACUUCCUGGAAGACAGUUCUCUUCUAAGGGAAUGUCUCUAGGCCAGUUCAGUUUCUCUUCACUCAAACUGGCACUGACGCCAUGGGGUCAGUCCUUUUUAAGCAGCUUGCCCUGUGAGUGCCAAGAAAACUUUUUCCUGCUUUUUCUUUUUAAAGGUCUUACAAGUGCUUAAAGGAGCCCUGAACGCUCUUUUGAGCCUGCACAGGAUACGCUGAACGGCCAAGGUAGUAACCUAAGAGAGCAUCCAAAGAAGCAAUGCGUCUGAACAAUGUGUAUCCAACAGCUCUUCCCUCCAUCAGCUUUGUGCUGCUGCUUGUUCAUGACUUUGUAGGAGAGUGUGUUUAUAUCUGAUCUUUAAAUCACUGUAGAAUGACAUACGAAAAAGGUCAGCUGUCACCCAAAAGUUCUGGAUUUAGAGGCAGUGCUCUUCCACCUCUCCAUCCCAGUCAAGUCAUUUAUAUUCUCUCAAAACAGCUUCCUCCUCUGUAAAAUGGGGUCAAGAAGUACUUCCUCACAAGACCGUUAGGAGAACCAGAGGAUAAAAUAUGUAUGAAAAAGACCUAGACAUCAAAAUCACAAAAAACCCUUUCUUUGCAGAAACAGGAGGAUUUUAAAUGUGGUAACAUGAAAAAGGCCAUGCAGAGAGCCAAUACAUACCUAAAAGUGAAACCCGCUCUUUCUUUCUUUCUGUAUAAUAAGUAGUUAGGAAAUGGUUACACAAAUCAAGACACACUCAUCAAAGACACACAUCCACUUGGCCUUUAAACAGAAUUCCAUUUCUCUCCAAAUACUUUUUUUGAUACCUAAUUGUUCACUCCCUUGAUUCUGUGGUAGAGAGCUGGAUCACUAAGAUCUUGGGGGAUCCUGUCUUGAAACAGUCUCCUCUGAAUGAAACUUUCAUUGAAUGUUCUUCAAAAAAAUAAUUUCCUUUUUUGCCAAAGUUCUUGUGAAUUGGAAAAUAGUUCCUGUUUCGAAGAUAAAUGACAGAAAGAAAAAAAAAGUAACUUUCUUAAGGUAAUGCUUUUAAUGAAAAGUUGAAAGUAGCAGUUUUUCACUUGCAGUUCUAAUAAGACUUCAAAAUUUUACCCUAUUAAAAUUUUUGUUUUGUUCUAUACAACAUUUAAUGCCCAGUUUUACGCAGCUCUGAGAAUAAUGUUAAGAAUUAAAGAGCUUUCCAGUAACUGAAAACUUAACGAACUGGUUGCGCAAGAGUAAAAAAGUAAAAAGAAGUAAAAAAAUUAAUUAU